rnacentral:rRNA from 1 species
GAUGAACGCUGGCGGCGUGCCUAAUACAUGCAAGUCGAGCGAACAGACGAGGAGCUUGCUCCUCUGACGUUAGCGGCGGACGGGUGAGUAACACGUGGAUAACCUACCUAUAAGACUGGGAUAACUUCGGGAAACCGGAGCUAAUACCGGAUAAUAUAUUGAACCGCAUGGUUCAAUAGUGAAAGACGGUUUUGCUGUCACUUAUAGAUGGAUCCGCGCCGCAUUAGCUAGUUGGUAAGGUAACGGCUUACCAAGGCAACGAUGCGUAGCCGACCUGAGAGGGUGAUCGGCCACAGUGGAAGGGAGACCCGGCCCAGACUCCUAGGGGAGGCAGAGGUAGGGAAUCUUCCACAAGGGGCGAAAGCCUGAGGGAGCAGCGCCGGGUGGGUGAAGAAGUGCUUGGAAUCGAAAAACUUUUUUAUGGGGAAAAAAAAAAUGUGAAAGUAACUAUGCACGUCUGGAGGGUACCAAAACAGAAAGCCCCGCCAACCUCCGG